AGUGACAUCAACUCUAUCUGUUUUCUGGCCUCGAAGAAGAUCAACCCUUUUAGCUGCUGACUUGUCUUGAGUGCCACUGGCAACCACAUACGUGUGGGUUGUUCCAAGUAAAGUCCCCGGAGCAAUCCUCUCUUCUUUUUCUUCAAGAACUUGGUAAAGAGGCCUCUCAGGUUCCUUUCUUUGCUGCUUACGGAGGUCAAUGACAUCUGGUGUUUCAACACCAGUCGGUGU
rnacentral:misc_RNA from 1 species